AAAAACAACUAGAUUUUAACCCGCGGUAUACCGCGGGACAAUUUAUUUUUUAAAUUAGUAUAUAUAAAAGUUUGUAAAUUAAAUCUAUUUAUUUUUAUUUUAUAGUUUACAAUUGUUAUUAAGUAACGUCCUGCCAAACCCGUCUCGCCAAAUCCGUCCCGUAAAAAAAACCGCGGUACACCGCUAAUUUAAAUAUAUAAUUAAAAUAAAUAUUUUACGGGAUUGCAAUUGUAUUUUGGUUUGUCAAACAAAUAUUGUUUUAAAUAGUUGCCAAAAUCUAGUUCAAAUUUUGGAGAAAAAAGAUUUAUUGGAUAGAUAAAUAAUGUAUUUAGGUGUGUUUUGCUCAUUUUAAGAGAUUGCAAUUAUAUUUUUGUUUGUCAAACAUUUUUUGUUUCAAAUAGUUGCUGAAUAUUGUGUGCGUGACAUAUGAGAUUGGAAUAUUUUUAGUUUGUUAAUCAAUUUAUUGCUGGAAAAA
rnacentral:sRNA from 1 species